GCCGGUCUGGAUUGUGAUAAAAAGAAGCGCAUGCGAUGCAUAAAAUAUAUAAUGUCGUGGCUCAGGGAUGUGUUGAAUUAUAGAGAUGCUUAUGCGGCACAAAGAUAAGAUUAAUUUACCCAAAUGUACUAAGAAUUACCACACAACUUAAAUUUACUUAAAUAUUGAUUUGUUAUCCUGUGCCAGGCAGAUGGCUGAUAUUCUGAGAAGAGACCUUGAUGAAAUGAAGUUUUAUGAGAACAAAAAUUUUGAAAACACGUCGCAGUGUUUAGAUUUUAACAAAAAAU
rnacentral:lncRNA from 1 species